CUGUUCAGUUUAUGUCUCAGUUGUUGAACAUUAUGUUCAUACAAAUAUUUACAUAUGUUAAGUUUGCUGAAAAUAAACGCAGUUGACAGUGAGAGGACGUUUCUUUUUUUUGCUGAGUUUAGGUACUCCUAUGUGCUUAAUUUAGUUAUUAUUGUAACUUUAGUUGUUCUACAAACGUUGGGCUAUAUGUUUUGAUUUUUAAUACAUUGUAAGGCUGCAUGAUGCGACUCUAAUGAUGAUUUGAAAAAAGUCUCUUGAAAGGCAUGAGCUCUGCUUAGUUUUUUUGCGCAGGCUGUACACACUCCAAUAGUCUUCCAUUCACAAUUUGACAAGCACUUGAUAAUGCCUCGAAUUUCACGGUGGCAUCUCCUUUGUGGCUGUAAUGCACCCUAAACAAAUCCAUUCCUUUUGCGGCCCGGAGUGCUGCGUUGUGCCAUUCUCCCUGAGUGUGCUGCCCAAUCCGAAGCAUUUCUCACUCGCACGGUUCUCCAUCACCUGAUCGGGUCUUUCUCAUAGGCUAUAAAUUAAGACAGGCACAUCUGGGACACAACUGCCCGCGUCCUCAUCCAAUUCCGAAGUGCAUAUUUAAGAUAUUGGAAGAACUAUCCAAAAUGUACUUUUCAUCAGCCAACAAGAUGAGUAGGCCUAACGAACAGCAAAAGCACUAGCCUAUGUCAAUCCACUGUCCCCCAUAGUACAAAAGUCAACCUAUUCUGUGCAAGAUAUAAGUAUUUGUUAUAUAUGCCAGUUAGGCUCUACAACCCUUGUAAAGCGGCUUAAUCUGCUUAAUUCUAAGAAGUUAUUUGACCACCUUAGUUGUGCUACAUACCUUGUUAGAACAGUCUGGCCUAAUGGGCUAUGAUUCAAACAAGUGACAAAGAAAAAGGCAGUGUUUCUUAUGCUGGGCAUCAUUCUCAAGUGAUAAUAUAUAAUUCACAAGUAAUAGGCUAAUAUUAUCACCCAUCAGACUACACUUGUUUAAUCUUGUCUUCACAUAUACUAAAUAAUAUGUCACUUUUGAUUUAUAAGGGACCAUUAUCAAGCACCUGCAUCGAAACAGUCAGCGUGAAAAAUACAUGUCAUCUAUGUACUUAAAUAGCGAAUGGAGGAUGCUUUUCCCUGUUUCUUUUUUCUUCCUGCCAGCCAGGUAGGCUGUACUCCUGUUGUAAAUAUAAGUAAUGUGCUUAAUAUUAGGAAAGCUGAGAGAUAAAUAUGGCCUAGUCUAUAGAAAACUGAUGGGAUAGAAAUGCUCCGCAACAUGAGCUCAUGGGCUCUCAUUCAUUGUUUGAUUUUAUAUUUUCAAAUACAUUUGCAUUGAUCGUGGACUAUAGGUCUCAUGGUUCAAAUACACUAAGACCGUUGUGAAGUGUAAUGUGUAUUGGCGCCGUUUUAUGGGCUCUUAACCAACCGUG